rnacentral:rRNA from 1 species
CCUACGGGAGGCAGCAGUAAGGAAUAUUGGUCAAUGGGCGCAAGCCUGAACCAGCCAUGCCGCGUGCAGGAUGAAGGCCCUCUGGGUUGUAAACUGCUUUUAUCUGGGAAGAAACACCCCGUUUCUACGGGGCUUGACGGUACCAGAGGAAUAAGCACCGGCUAACUCCGUGCCAGCAGCCGCGGUAAU